CUAAUGGGUAACCAUUUAACCCCAAUGUGCCUGUGAUCUUCACCUCUUUUUAUUACUCUGGACACUGGUGGCAUUUUCUAAAAAAAAGGAUAGUCUUAUUAUUCUGCCAAAAUACAAAUCCACACCUCCAAAAUCUUUCAGCCUGCCAAUAAAAAAAUCUUAGAAGUUUAAGCUACUACAAGACUUUGCUCUACUAUAACCUGUGUCAUCACUAAUUCUCUCCCCCUCUGCCAACUGCAGGUCUGGGAUGAUGCUGAUGCACAUGCUCACCAGCUGACUGAAACCCCUGGCAGUGUGUAUAUCUCUCCAUUUAACCAUCCUCUCGUCUGGGAGCACUUCAUAGUAAUGUUCUUUUGCUAGGUGCACUCAUAUCUGGGAAACUGCAGGAACUGCCACAACAAAUGGGCAGCAAUUUCUCCCAUUUGUCCUAUUAGAAAUGGCACCAAGCAAGAACAAAACAAUGAUGAGCUAAUGUUUGUGAAGCCUGCUUGUGGAGCUGCCUUGCUGCUGUUUAUUCAGGACAUAUCCAACGCCUGCAGCAGGAGGGAAGCUUGAAGACACCCAUUGACCCCAUUGUGAUUGUAGUGUGUGACGGCAGUGCGAUCGGCAUUUCUCAGCUACAGCACUUUAAAUCCCAGCUGAAUAUGAACUGAUAAUGCCAAUAAAAUUAAAUUAUUCUC